rnacentral:lncRNA from 7 species
GUGAUGCCUAGAGAUUCUUCUACUUCAAUAGAAAGUUCGUUGAGAACGUGGCUUGACUCCACUGUUGUUAGGACUGGAAACUUGUGAAGGGCAGUCUUCCAAUUGAAUGCACUGCUGGUUUUUACUCUCUGCAAGAACUUUCUGCAAGUGAUAGCAUGGAACAAGGUGUCCAGGAACUAAAGGGUUACAAGAAAGAAAGAAAUUUGAAAAGAGUCCCAAAGCAUUUUUUUUUGUUUUUCUUCCUUUUUCCCUGAAGAAUUUAAUCCUUGGAAUUUUUCAAAUGUCAAAGUGGCAAUCCUUGCACUAUGAUUACUGUAUGAUCUGCACAGUAUGAUCACUGCAGUUGAACACAAACAUUCGUAAAGAUGAAGGUAGUUCCGGAUGUUUUCAUGGCAGCAUCCAGAAGAAAGGUUCAUUUAAAGAAACAGAAAACAAAUGAAACCUGGGAUAAUUCAGAGUGAGAGAACAAAGCAAACACAACCACAGAACAGGUCAUGCUCCACUCUACUUUUUAUCUUGCCAGCUGAAGAAUUGUACUUCAUGUUGACUUUCAUCUCCUUGGGAUUGCAGCUACCUCUGUGUGGUCAGCUGGGGUUUUGGGCUUUGUAAGAAAAGUUUGCAGUAUUGUGCUGUGUGCACAAAAAUGUCUACUUCUGACCUAGAAUCUAUCAAAGGAGGAAAGCAAUAAUAGGAGUGAAAGCAUUGUUGGAGUGGCUCUGCUCAGUAAUGAGAAAAUGCUCUCUGCAGUGAUGCUGGAUGCAAUUGCCUAAGCCAAUUAGAAUAACUGAGAGGGGAAAACUAGUCAGUGUCACUUC